AGCAGCCGCGGUAAUUCCAGCUCCAAUAGCGUAUAUUAAAGUUGUUGCAGUUAAAAAGCUCGUAGUUGAAUUUCGGGAUUAGUACGUUGGUCGUGCCUUCGGUACGUACUGGUGUUACUGAUUCCUACCUUCUGACGAACCAUCAUGUCAUUAAUUUGGUGUGGCGGGGAAUCAGGACUGUUACUUUGAAAAAUUAGAGUGUUUAAAGCAGGCUCGCGCUUGAAUACAUUAGCAUGGAAUAAUGAAAUAGGACGUUGACCCUAUUUUGUUGGUUUCUAGGAUUGACGUAAUGAUUAAUAGGGAUAGUUGGGGGCAUUAGUAUUCAAUUGUCAGAGGUGAAAUUCUUGGAUUUAUUGAAGACUAACUACUGCGAAAGCAUUUGCCAAGGAUGUUUUCAUUAAUCAAGAACGAAAGUUAGGGGAUCGAAGACGAUCAGAUACCGUCGUAGUCUUAACUAUAAACUAUGCCGACUAGGGAUCGGAUG
rnacentral:rRNA from 1 species